rnacentral:rRNA from 1 species
GACGUAGGGCGCAAGCGUUGUCCGGAUUUAUUGGGCGUAAAGAGCUCGUAGGCGGCUUGUCGCGUCGACUGUGAAAACCCGCGGCUCAACCGUGUGGCUUGCAGUUGAUACGGGCAGGCUAGAGUUCGGUAGGGGAGACUGGAAUUCCUGGUGUAGCGGUGAAAUGCGCAGAUAUCAGGAGGAACACCGGUGGCGAAGGCGGGUCUCUGGGCCGAUACUGACGCUGAGGAGCGAAAGCGUGGGGAGCGAACAGG